GACGAACGCUGGCGGCGUGCCUAAUACAUGCAAGUAGGACGCAGUUGCGAACGGGUGAGUACCGCGUAGGUAACUACCUAUUAGAGGGGGAUAACUAUUGGACACGAUAGCUAAUAACGCAUACUCGUAGAUGGACCUGCGUUGUAUUAGGUAGGAGGUAGGGUAAUGGCCUAACUAGGCAACGAUACAUAGCCGACCUGAGAUGGUUAACCGCCACACUGGGGCGUAGACAAGGGCCAGACGCCUUCGGGAGGCAGCAGUAGGGAAUCGUCGGGAAUGGGGGGAACCAUUACCGAGCAACGCCGGGGGAGUGAAGAAGGUUUUCGGAUCGUAAAGCUCUGUUGUUAAGGAAGCGGUACUUAACCAGAAAGGGACGGCUAACUACGUGCCAGCAGCCGCGGUAAUUC
rnacentral:rRNA from 1 species